UACGAAGGGAGCUAGCGUUGUUCGGAAUUACUGGGCGUAAAGGGCGCGUAGGCGGCUAUGUAAGUCAGAUGUGAAAGCCCCGGGCUUAACCUGGGAACUGCAUUUGAUACUACUGAGCUUGAGUACGGGAGAGGAUAGUGGAAUUCCCAGUGUAGAGGUGAAAUUCGUAGAUAUUGGGAAGAACACCGGUGGCGAAGGCGGCUAUCUGGACCGUAACUGACGCUGAGGCGCGAAAGCGUGGGGAGCAAACAGG
rnacentral:rRNA from 1 species